rnacentral:rRNA from 1 species
AGAGUUUGAUCCUGGCUCAGGACGAACGCUGGCGGCGUGCCUAACACAUGCAAGUCACGGGGGGUAGCAAUACCAACCGGCGAACGGGUGCGGAACACGUGAGCAAUCUACCGAUUACUGGGGGAUAGCCGGCCCAACGGCCGGGUAAUACCGCAUACGCUCGAGAGGGGACAUCCCCAUUUGAGGAAACCUCCGUGGUAAUCGAGGAGCUCGCGUCUUAUCAGCUAGUUGGUGAGGUAACGGCUCACCAAGGCUACGACGGGUAGCUGGUCUGAGAGGAUGGCCAGCCACAUUGGGACUGCGACACGGCCCAGACUCCUACGGGAGGCAGCAGUGGGGAAUAUUGCGCAAUGGACGAAAGUCUGACGCAGCGACGCCGCGUGUGGGAUGAAGCUCUUCGGGGUGUAAACCACUGUUGCCCGGGACGAAUAUCCUUUUUCGAAAGGAUUGACGGUACCGGGUGAGGAAGCACCGGCUAACUCUGUGCCAGCAGCCGCGGUAAUACAGAGGGUGCGAGCGUUGUCCGGAAUCACUGGGCGUAAAGGGCGCGUAGGUGGCUUGUUAAGCGUGUGGUGAAAGCCUGGGGCUCAACCCCAGGUCUGCCGUGCGAACUGGCAAGCUUGAGCGUAGUAGAGGCAGGUGGAAUUUCGGGUGUAGCGGUGGAAUGCGUAGAUAUCCGAAAGAACACCGGUGGCGAAGGCGGCCUGCUGGGCUACUGCUGACACUGAUGCGCGACAGCGUGGGGAGCAAACAGGAUUAGAUACCCUGGUAGUCCACGCCGUAAACGAUGGGUACUAGGCGUCUGGGGGAGCGACCCCCUGGGUGCCGGCGCUAACGCAUGAAGUACCCCGCCUGGGGAGUACGGCCGCAAGGCUGAAGCUCAAAGGAAUUGACGGGGGCCCGCACAAGCGGUGGAGCAUGUGGUUUAAUUCGACGCAACGCGAAGAACCUUACCUGGGUUUGACAUGCUGGAGAAAGCCCUCAGAAACGGGGGCCCCUCUUCGGAGUUCCAGCACAGAUGCUGCAUGGCUGUCGUCAGCUCGUGUCGUGAGAUGUUGGGUUAAGUCCCGCAACGAGCGCAACCCUCAUCCCUAGUUACCAGCGGGUAAAGCCGGGAACUCUAGGGGGACUGCCGGUGCCAAACCGGACGAAGGUGGGGACGACGUCAAGUCAUCAUGGCUCUUACAUCCAGGGCUACACACGUGCUACAAUGGGCCAGACAAAGGGUCGCCAACCCGCGAGGGGGAGCCAAUCCCAUAAACUGGUCCUCAGUUCGGAUUGCAGUCUGCAACUCGACUGCAUGAAGCUGGAAUCGCUAGUAAUCGUGGAUCAGCUACGCCACGGUGAAUACGUUCCCGGGCCUUGUACACACCGCCCGUCACGCCAUGGAAGCUGUGAGUGCCCGAAGUCCGUGCAGGAACCCGCAAGGGGCCGGGCGGCCGAAGGCAAGCGCAGUGACUGGGGCGAAGUCGAAACAAGGUA